UUAUUUACCGAUUCGAUUUUUCACAGCAGGCUAGGAAGAAACUUGCCUCGUUCUUUGGCUCUUGUGUCUAAACAUCCCUGGGUACGAAUUUCAGUCUUUCUUUUUCAAUCUAAAACCAAAUCUCUUAGUAGGAAUGCCUGACAUAGGCAGAGCCAGGGAUUUGCAAACACAGAUAAAAAAUCUAUAUUAGGCAUGUGACUAGAAUUUUUUUAAUCCAUAUGAAAAUAUAAUCUGUGUGACAUUUAUUAAAAGAUGUGUAAGUAAUACAAGCUACAUGCUUGGAUUCUGGCAGCUUUUCCUACGAUCUGAGACUGCAUUUAGUAAACAAGUGUCUUUACUCAUUGUAGAUCUAAGACAAGCUGAUUCUUUCAGCACACUUAAGUGAAAAAUGGACUCUGCUUUCAAUAUAGAAGACAGCAGUAACCAACAUCAGCUCCAGUUCUCACAAGAGCCAGGGAAGAUGUUUUACAUGACACCAUAAGCAUUACAGCUAAGAUCUCCUUGGAGAGCAGCAGGGGAAGACUCCUCCACAAGGAAGGAAGGUGCAAGAGCCACAUGUGACAGCGAGGCAGUCAGAGUAGUGCAAUUCCAGAGUGGAUCAAGGGCCACAGUGCCCAAACAGAGCAAGGAGGACAGGUCUGGAGAUGGUAAACAGGGUCAGCAAAGAGUGCAGCUUUCCAGGCAAGUCCACAGUUAUGAGAGAAUUCUGAAGUCAAGUCCAUGUUUCAGGGUCAGGAUUCAAAUCAAGAGGGUACCUGGUCAGGUAUGAGCAGAGGGGCAACACUGCUCUGUAAGUAAACAGGCAUGAAAGCCUAGCCUAAAAGCAGCUUAAGAGAGAAAGGUGGAGAGCUCCUGCUAGGGCUUCUUAGACAGCUCUCCUUCACAUCACUUCAAAGGAAGAUAGCUGUGCUAUCAGUGUUGGCUCUAAGUCCAGGCAGCGUAGCUUUCGUGAGGGAGAAAUACACUCAGGUCCUGAUAGCCUCUGUCAAGAUUCUUAGUGUGUCCUUUAUUACUCAUCAAACACAUGCUUACACAAAAAGGAGAGGAGAUUAUUCCGAAAAAGAAGUGGCAUACCACAGGUAGACUCAGUGGGUAUCAGGCUUCUGGCUGCUAUUGGUGCCUUUGAGAAUCUCCUACAAGAAUCCUUGAUUAGUUUACUAAUCAAGGAAUUAUACAAGCUAAAAGGGAAAUGAGGGAAGUGAGAAGAUACAGCUCAAGCCCUAUCUGAUAUUUAACAGAGCAAAGCAAAGAAUAUAUAACGGUAGAAUCAUGCUGACACCUAUGCAUCUACUUACCUUGCCUGUACUGGAUAGCAGUAAUGACAGCACUCUAGUGUGUGUUCUUUGAAGGAGAGAGAUACCAAAAGACAAUAUGAAAAGCUAAACAGCAGUUGCCUAAUAAAAAAUUAAGAUCAUGGAAAAUACA
rnacentral:lncRNA from 1 species